UGCCAUUGUACAUACCCAGGAUGUCCCACC
rnacentral:piRNA from 1 species